rnacentral:rRNA from 1 species
UACGUAGGGGGCAAGCGUUGUCCGGAAUCAUUGGGCGUAAAGCGCGUGUAGGCGGCUCGAUAAGUCUGCUGUGAAAGUCCAGGGCUCAACCCUGGGAUGCCGGUGGAUACUGUCGGGCUCGAGUCCGGAAGAGGAGUGUGGAAUUCCUGGUGUAGCGGUGAAAUGCGCAGAUAUCAGGAGGAACACCAAUGGCGAAGGCAGCACUCUGGGACGUGACUGACGCUGAGACGCGAAAGCGUGGGGAGCGAACAGG